UGCGCGAGGUCGCCACGAGGAGGCUCAAAGCCCCGCCUAUCCAGUGAUCCACCCACGCUUUGCUCCGUUACAGAGGCGCUUCUCAGGAGCUCGAUGCCACGCAGCCGCAGAGGAUGUGGGGCGGGGACAGGGGCGGGGCUGGAUCGGAGGCGGAGGCUGUGGGGGGGCGGGCUCUGAAGUCACGUGGGUAAACACGCCGCACGUGGAGCUCAGCCUGAGCCAGAAGGGCGGGGCCGAGGGUUCCGCGGAAGGAGUGCGGUAAGGGGCUGCAUUUGGUCCGGCCAGCAUGGCGAGGUCGUUUGCUCCGUGCACAAAGAGGUGACAGAGGUGCCUGCUUCCCCAGCCAGCAGUCUAGAGGCGGGCGCAGUUCGACUAUGGUUUCCGUCUGGGUGUGGCGAGGACACUGCGGUGGGGUCCGGACACCUGACCCUGCAUCACUGCUCCUUAAACAGCUCCUCCUCCA